GGGGGGGGGGGGGGGGGUGGGGGGGGGGGGCGGGUGGGGCGGUGCAGAGGGGUGGUUGCGACACUGUGCGGAGCGGAGCAGGGGUGAGUAAGGCGUGGGGAGUGUGCAGUUGAGAGGGGGACAACCUUGGGGAGCGAAUGGUGAUACCGCCUAAGAAGUUUCGACAUAAGUUGUCAGUUUGAAAGUUGCACUAUCAUCACUCACAGAUGAGCACGCGUUGUAUUAGCUAGUUGGUGAUGUAAAGGCUCACCAAGGCGCAUAUACAUCGGCGACCUGAGAGGGUGAUCGGCCACAUUGGGACUGAGACACGGCCCAAACUCCUACGUGAGGCAGCAGUAGGGAAUCUUCGGCAAUGGACGAAAGUCUGACCGAGCAACGCCGCGUGAGUGAAGAAGGUUUUCGGAUCGUAAAACUCUGUUGGUAGAGAAGAACGUUGGUGAGAGUGGAAAGCUCAUCAAGUGACGGUAACUACCCAGAAAGGGACGGCUAACUACGUG
rnacentral:rRNA from 1 species